AUGUAGUUACAAUCUUAUUAUUCGUACCAAGAACCGACACAGGUGUCCCUAGGUGAGUAGCCUAAGGCGUGUUAGCAUAAUCGAGGCGAGGGAACUCGGCAAAUUAGCCCUGUAACUUCGGGAUAAAGGGUGCCAGUAAUGAGAGUUACUGGUCGCAGUGACAAGAGAACACCGACUGUUUAGUAAAAACAUAGGUCUCAGCUAGUCCGAAAGGAUGUGUAUUGGGGCCGAAGCCUGCCCAGUGUCGGCAUCUGAAAUUCGGUUUCAACCGAUCGAAGGACCGAUAAACGGCGGGGGUAACUAUGACCCUCUUAAGGUAGCGUAAUACCUUGUCGCUUAAUUGGCGACUUGCAUGAAGGCUCAACGAGUGUUCUACUGUCCCCGCCUCGACGCUAGUGAAAACAAUCAAUCUGGUGCACAAUCCAGAUCAUUCCAUCUGAAAGCGAAGACCCCAUGGAGUUUCACUGCAACCUGUUGUUGUUGUAGGAGAUGGUAUGUGUAGGGUAGACGGGAGACGUUACCCAGGAAGGAGCGCUAGCUUCUCUCCGAGUCGACGAUGAAACACCGUCCUUACCAUUUCUUACGACUCACCCUUUCGAGGGGACAGCUAUAGGCGGGCAGUUCGGGUGGGGCGCCACGCCCUCAAAAAGAUAACAAGGGCGCCCAAAGGUUAGCUCAGUUAGGUCAGAAAUCUAACGAAGAAUGUAAAGGUAAAAGCUAGCUUGACUCGGAACCAGACAAUAGGGUUCGGAGAUAGGAAACUAUGGCUUAGCGAACCAAUCAGCCUCCCAAGUGGGGGCGAUUGAUGUCAGAAAAAUUACCCUGGGGAUAAUUGAGUUGUCACGGGCAAGAGUUCAUAUCGACCCCGUGGCUUGCUACUUCGCUGUCGGCUCUCCCUAUCCUGGUGGUGCAGCAGCUGCCAAGGGUGGGGUUGUUCGCCCAUUAAAAGGGAUCGUGAGCUGGGUUUAAAACGUCGCGAGACAGUUUUGUUGCUUUUUGAUGGAAUUGUUAAUGUCUGACGAGAAGGAUCCUUUAGUACGAGAGGAACAGGGAUUCGGUGCCUCUAGUUUAUCAGUUGUCCGACCGGGCAGGCUGAGUAGCCACGCACCAGUGGAUAAGAGCUGAACGCAUCUAAGCUCGAAGCCACCUUGAAAAAGAGACAUCUUAAGAUAUCCGUAUAUGACGGGUUUGAUAGAAGCCGGAUGUAAGUACCGAGGUUCGCCGAGGUAUUCAGUCCUGGCUCACUAACAUCUUUGCCGCUGGA
rnacentral:rRNA from 1 species